AAUCUCAAUCCCCUCGGGUUUCUGAUCUGAGAUGGACUUGGACUUGGGUGUCUGCCGUCACUUGACUGGCUCGCCUCAAAAGACUCGGUGGGAUUAGCAUCCAUGGCCUGACGUAAUAAGUUUCGUCUGGCUAGGUGCAAGGCCUGCUCAUAACCCCUCGCCUGCCUGGGCGUUGACACCUUUCGA
rnacentral:misc_RNA from 1 species